UUUCCGUAGGUGAACCUGCGGAAGGAUCAUUAUUGAAUGUAACACUUCUAACUUUCUGCUGUUGUGCUGGCCCUUUGGGCAAUGUGCACACGGCCCUGGUCACUAGUUUCUUCUCUUCCCCCUGUGCACUGCCUGUAGACACGCGGUGUCUAUGAUAUUUGUUAAAACACAACAAUGUUAGUUGGCAUGUUAUAUAUAAUAAUAAAAUAUACAACUUUCAACAACGGAUCUCUUGGCUCUC
rnacentral:misc_RNA from 1 species